rnacentral:lncRNA from 1 species
UAUCUGCUUAUUAUUCUCAAAUAAUUUCUUCUUUCACUUUAUUAUUUCUCAAAUCUUUCCUUCUUUUCCCUCUCCACAGAAAAAGCUCCAGAAGAUUUACAAGUCUUUUCAGAAAAGACUGAGCAGUACACUGAGCAGGAUUUGCACAUCACGAAAAAGUAGAGAUGGGAGAUGGGAGUCAAGAGCUUUGUGGGGUAGAGAGAAAGAUUAGGCUGGAAGGGGUACUGGACCGGGGUGUGUGUGUGUGUGUGUGUGUGUGUAGUGGUGUGUGUAACUUUCUCACUGAAUGUUUACUUGAAAAACUCCAGCACUGUCUAGCCUGGAUUAACAGAAGGAUGUGUGUUUGCCCAUGGGCAGGUAGGGGAUUUGGGGGGCAAGUGACCCUGGUAAUGAGAUGGUGAUGGCAGCUGGACUGUUGAGCAGGGCCCCAGUUCCCCACUCCCCAAGGGCCCUUCAGCAUCUUCCAUCCAGGCCCUGUCAGCCUCCUGUCCUUCCCUCUGGCUCCAGGAGAUCAGAGUCCUCCAAGAAAUGCAGCUGUUUCAUGACAAGAGGGAAUUAUCAUCUUCAGACUCAGGAGGACUCUGGGGUUUGUUUCAAGUCCAUGGAGCAGCACAGUCCAAUUGAGAGCUACAGCCUAUCCUGCCACUGAGCCCCCAUCCCAGUAUGCCAGCCAUGCCCUCAUGGCCAAGAAAACGAGGCCCUGAAGAAUCUCAGGUCCACUGAGUGCCAGGGUGGCAGGGGCAGAGUGCCUCAGGGCUCAGUGAAGUUUGGACUGAUAUAUCACAAAUAUCACAAAUGUUCUAUAAAAGUAAGUAGACAUAAAAGUAUACAUACUGUGUAAUUUGAUUUAUGCAAAAUCAAUAAACAGACAAACUGAGGUCCUGGCUUUCAGUAAUACUGGAGUAGCUUGUUGAAUUAACACAGAUUAUAAUGAUAACACCAGAAUAAUAUAUUAUAUUUUGUUAUAGAAACACAUCUGUAUAAUACAAGUAUGACCUAUGUGUGAGUAAGAACUGAAUGGGGAUUUCAGCUGUGCCCACUAUAGGGGAGAUAGAUAUUGAGGUUUGAAUCCAGCCCAAUUAACACCUUUUGUAAAACAUACUGCUCUUCAAAGUUACACAACAGAAUUGAGCAUCUCUAUAAUGAUUCUUUACAGUUUUAGAACACAAUUUUAAAAUUCAUGAGACGUGUAGAAACAUGAAAAUGUAAUCCAUUCACAAUUUAAAAAGCAGGCAGUAGAAGUGAUCCUAAGAUAUUCAAGGUUUUCUAAUUCAGGAUGUUUAAAGGCAGCUAUUAUAAAUCUGUUUAUGGGGGUAAAGGAAAAUAUUCUAACAGUGAAGAGAUGUGGAACCUCAGCAAAGACAUGGAAAUUAUGAAACAAUAGAAAGAUAAGGAAAUUUAAAAAAUACUUUUGAGCUUAUUCAAAGAUUAGAAACAGGAGACAGAGCAAUAGAAAUUGCCCAUUCCGAAUAAAAGAGUGAAAGAGCUUAAAGAAAAUGAAGAGUCUUAGAGACCUAUGGAGUGAUUGAGUCCAAGUUGGAGGGGGGACAGAAAAAUGAGGUACAAAAAUGCAUCAUCAACUAAUAGCUGAAAACUUCCAAACAUCAGUCAAAACCCCCAGUAUUUAUAUCCAACCGUCAACAAGCCCUUCCAAAAAUACAAAUAAAACCAUACCAAGGCCAUAUUGUGAUUUCGGAGAAUGGCAGGGCAGAGCUUUCUAUUGAUUUGCUGUGAUUUCUAAUUUUAGCUACUUAGAAGAAUGAAAAAUAGGUUCUCCUUAGAGUUUUUUUUUUUUUUUUUCCUUGGAGAAAGUCUGACUUAGGCACAGAUGACUGGCAGUUAUUAAAGUCAGAUGUCUUUCCAGCCUUCUCUUAAAUUUGCAGUGUCUUACCUUGGAAAUUAUUUAAAGUUGUUACUUCCAAAUCCCGCAGUAAUACUGAUGCUCCCAAAAGAUGUCCCACAGAGAUUUUUGCUCUUGUGCAUCCAUCCUGCCUAGUUGCAUUAGCGUGUAGUCAUGGGGUACUUCGAGUUAAUCUAGAAAACUAAAUGUUAAAAUGGAUUCAGGGCGUGGUAGCUCACGCCUGUAAUCCUAGCACUUUGGGAGGCCUAGGCGGGCAUAUCACUGGAGGUCAGGAGUUCAAGACUAGACUGGCCAACAUGUCAAAACCCCAUCUGUACUGAAAAUACAAAAAUUAGCCGGGUGUGGUGGCGGGUGACUGUAAUUUCAGCUACUGGG